AGCCAAUCUCGGGACAAGGAGGAGGUGGAUGUGUUGGGGGAGGCAUGGAUGUCCAUCGAGUGAAGAGGUCUGAGGUGGGUACCCCGAGUUCUGCUGGGCCCAGACCCUCCCCUCUCAUGGCCACCACCCUCCCUGGCAUCCCAGUGUGCCCCAGUCCAGCCCAGUGUGCCCCAGUCCAGCCCAGUGUGCCCCAGUACAGCCCAGUGUGUCCCAGUCCAGCCCAGUGUGUCCCAGUCCAGCCCAGUAUGUCCCAGUGCACCCCAGUGUGUCCCAGUUUACCCCAGUGUGUCUCUAACCCUGCCUUUGUCCCCAGCCCCCCGUGGCUGACCAGGUGGAGCUGAUGCGCCAGUGACGCUCGGCUGCCUCUCUGCAUGUCCAGGACUGGAAGUGGUGGUGACACCCGUGUCCUGGCCCCCUCCAACGGCAUGAGGAGAUGAUCAUCCCUGGAGGACCCCCCUGAUCCCCUGGGUGCCCUGGCAAUUUCCCUGCAAGAAUCAAUAAACCCCUGCAGCAAAACAAA